UUUAUUUUUUUCAGGGAAAAUUCUCGCAAUUUCAAUUUCUAAUUAUAAAAAAAAUAGUGCUAAAUGUCUUUGAUCGCUUAAAAGGCGAUAGCAACAAGCUCCUCACACCAUCAGAGAACGGUUUCUUCGAUUGUUGGAAAAACGACGGCUUUUAUUAUUAAAAACCGUUUGUAUUGUCUUCAGGUUCCCAAGUAAGUACUAACCGUAAAACGAAUUCUGAUUCUUUUACAAUUGUCUGCCCGUUACUGGUAACAUGGAAUAACUCAUAAUUUAUCCAUCGCUACCAAAGGAAUCAAUACUUCUACUCAUCUAAAUAAUAUCUUCUCUUAAUUUUAUGUCUACUAGACUUAUGUGUGAUGUAUGUUUUUAAGCCGCCCGUGGUGUAGGUACCUACAAGAAUACUAUAACCAAUUUAUGAAGUGCGAAACGAAAUGUAUAACAUAAUCAAGUUGGUCUGUGCGGUGUUUCUUACAAACAAUCUGCUAAAAAGUUAUUAGCAAUCCAGUGUGAGUACAAAUCUGUCUCAGUAUUAAGGGCAUCAACAAACGUGCUACUUAAGAUAUGAAUGGGAGAGAGUCAGACCACUACAGACGAGCAGACAGUGCCAGUGGUCACGAUGCCAACGCCUACAUUGAGGACGGUUUUUUAUCUACAAUCCGACGCAUGACCCGAUGACCGUAGUUUGCAACGUCGCCAAUUUGUACGAGAUAUCGUCCGACUUCUGCACAAGAUAGAGCUACUCUAGUACACUGCCAAUCGAAAAUCGACAAUUUAAAUUCGUAACAGUGUGUUCUUUAUCCUUUAAGUUUUCUCUCGUGUUAUAAUUUGAUUAAGUAGCUUUUUUCGAGCAUGACGUUUUUGUGAUGGAUGGUCAGAAAAUAUUUCGAAUGUAUGUUUUUUAUUUACUUUGAUUUUGACUUUGGGGCCUCUGCCUACUCCUUAUGCACCGGGUGUUUUAAAUUCUCAAACAUUUUUUUGUCUUUAUCUACCUAUAUAGAUGUACAAAUGUUAGUAUUUCGAGACUAUAAGAGAUCGGCAGUUGUUUUGCGAGCCGCCACGUAUGUCGGAGCUGAUAAAAUGAAUGGCGUCGAAGCGACUCGGCUGCCCACUCAUACUAAUAAUGAUUGUGAUAGGUAAUAAACUCUGAAAGUGAAAUUAAUGACUCGUUUGUUAUGAAAACAUAUUUAUUUUUCGCUUAAAUCUGGGCCUUACAUAAGCGAUAUUGUUGCAGUUGUGGUAGCGAGGUGCGGCUUUAAGUAUAUUGUGCAGUGUACCGUAGCCUGUGUGUAGUGCUAACUCAAACUGACAUAGAAAUGUUAUACGUAAAAAAAUCAAAUAAUAUUUAUCGGAAACAUUGGUGUAUCAAAACAAAAGCGACAUAAAAUGCAUGUUAUAAAACCAAGACGCAUUUGAGCUAAUAACCAUGAAUAUCCAAGAAAAAACAUAAAAGCUGUUUCAUAUUAUUUAACUAAGUAGAUAAUAUUUUAAGUAUAAAUAAAAGACCAUCUCGUCCAUUGUAACUGACGUCAGAAUCCGAAGUGGAAGCCGCUUCCUUCGCGACUCCAUCUUUUAUUUAUAGACGAUUGAUUGAUGAAGCAAAACGUCGUAUAUGAAUGAAUCGAUUUAUGGUUUCGUUGAGCAGACACUGUUUAUGUACCCACUUGACGUCAGGAAUCUUAAAUGAGAAAAGAAUAAAAUCCCAUCGAAUUCAUAAAAAGUGUAGGGAAUAUUUUAUAGUCGAAACCUCGGUGCUGCGCACUAUGAAUGAUAGUGACGCUCGUCGCCAAGAUACUCUACCACAAUGCGUAACCAUCAGAAAUGAAAGAGCAUUUCAGUAUACAAAUAUUGGUAGUGGAUGAAAUAAGUUUAAGUUCAAACCUAAUAACCAUUAAUUUUUUAGAGAAUCUUUAAAACCUCUGAACAUCACCACCAUCAAAGGUACGGUGGCAAAAAUGGAAAAAUAAUCUUACACCAAAGAAAUAAAGAUCCUGAGAAUGUUUCAAUUAUCAUUGUAAGGUAAACUGUGACGAACACACGACUCUACAAAACACGUGACAAUUUACAAGCUUACAACUAACACUCCAAGUCGAAGUAUCUUGUAAUUUGGGUUCGUUGUGAUGAGAUAGGUUAGCAACUGUCGGUGGUCGUUACACUGAUUACCCAACAGUUGUUAUCUGUCCGCCGGCCAGUGCGGAGCUUGUUUGAAGCGCCGCAACUUCCUGCACGAUGACCUGCCCACUAUCAGCUACGCUUGCGAGCUGCGACCGACUCACUGCAUCUGACUGUACCUACGAAUGAUCGCCAAAUACUGGCUCUCUUUUAUUCGGCAGCGAUAUACUUGUUCAGAAAAGUUCCUUAUUGAUAAAUGGAUAUCUAAGCAGGUAACACGAUUUGAACAAUAAACAAUACCCAAUGGAAAUAAAUUGAGUGAACCUUAAGAUAUUGAAUGGCACCCUUAACAAUACAAUGCGAACAUCGAAGAAAUCAAAGUGGCAGUGCAUGAUGCAUCUCGGGGCACAGGUCAAGAAAUGCGCUCGAUAACUGGUGAGAUUUGACAGUGAAAUAACGAUAGUCUUGUACUAAGUGUACAUCAAAACCAGAAUGUACCACAAAUGGCAGCCGUGGUCACAAAUCAAGCUCACAAUGGCGCGGAUGAUCCAUUUGCUUCGAAGAAGCAGAGGUCAAGCGGCCCACUCCGACGCAGCCUGACGCAUUAUAACAUAAUAUAUUAUUUUAAUAAAAAAGCAACAGUUCAUCUGGAUCAAACAGGUUCGUUUUGUAAUACAUCACGUUGACAUAUUUAUUGCCAAGGAAAUCGAAAAGCAUAUUUUGUUAAAACUAAAAGAACUUAGUUGGAUACAAAUAGAACAUUGAUAUUCUCUUCGUUGCGGUGCAUGAAUAAGACUACGCAUGAAUAGCGUUGUAUCGAUAAUGUUGUGACCAAAAGUUCAUCGAAUUGCUUAA